UAUUUUUAUCUAGUGUCAGUCCGCAGCACUUGAAGAACUUUUCGGAAAUCCAGAAGAAUGUUUUCGUCGUUAUCAAACAGCCCAGAUACUAUUACAUAGCCUCGCCCAACAAGUAAUCUAUGAAAAUGAUAAAAAGCUCUUAGGAAAAUAUAAAAUGGCAGUUGAAAAACGACUCUACGUUCUUCAGAGUCAAGGAUAUAUCUAUGCUUACAAUACUAUCUAGUUUUUAUUUAAAUAAACUCACAAAUAUUUAAAAAAAUUAAGUUAUUUUCUUUUUAGUACAAAAACAUUUACAUGUUUUUAACAUGGUUAUCUGUACCAACAAAAUCAAAAGUUAAUUUUCCCAUUAUCACAUCCAGCAUUUUUUCCAUGUAAAAUAUAGUCACUUUAUAUACCAUUUUCAAAGAUUUGAAAAUUACAUAUAGGAGGAAAUAUAUUGUAAAUUUAGCUUCUAAUCUUUUGUAGUUUAUGUAAUAUGUGUAGAUUAUAAGAAAAACAAAAAUUAAUUAAUAUAAGUAUAGGAAUAGAAUGUUGAGAAAAUUAAAAAGAAAAAAAUAUUGUAAAUCUCUUUGAGAAAUAUGAUGAUUGUGCCUUGAUGGUUUAACCAUCUUUCUGAAUGAUUUGGCAAAGGAAGGAAACUAAUUUACUUUUAUCAAUAAUAAAUUUCUAUCAAUUCAAAAAAAAUUAAGCAGUAUCAUUUAUUUAAGAAUAAGAAUUUCAUAUCUCAAUACGGUUUAAAAUAACACAUUUUAUUUAUAAUAUAUUUAAAUUUUUUUUAUUGACCAGUUGUGUAAUUGAUACUUAAAAUUCUUUCUUCUAUUUUUAGUGAUUUGUUUAUAUAUAUAUAUAUAAUGUUAUAUUUAUAAGAUAUUUAAUUUAUAAUUGUACAGAAAUAUUUACAAAUGUAUAAUUGAUAAAAUAUUUUAUUUGUAUGUAUGCAUUUAAACAGUGAUUGUGAUGCAUUUAUCUAUAUUGUCUUUGGAAGAAAAUUGUAUAUCUUCUAUCAGUAUCUCUGUAUUUUUCUUAACUCAAACUUAAUAAACAGCAUAAUGGAUGAAAAGGUUAUAAAAAAAAAUAAAUACCAAGUAUAAAUGU